GCCAGGCAUGGUGGCGCAUGCCUGUAAUCCCAGCUACUUGGGAGGCUGAGGCAGGAGAAUCGCUUGAACCAGGAAGUCAGAGGUUGCAGUGAGCCGAGAUCAUGCCACUGUACUACAGCCUGGUGACAGAGCCAAACUCUGCCUCAA
rnacentral:SRP_RNA from 1 species